UACGAAGGGGGCUAGCGUUGUUCGGAAUUACUGGGCGUAAAGGGCUCGUAGGCGGCCAACUAAGUCGAACGUGAAAUCCCCGGGCUCAACCCGGGAACUGCGUCCGAUACUGGAAGGCUUGAAUCCGGGAGAGGGAUGCGGAAUUCCAGGUGUAGCGGUGAAAUGCGUAGAUAUCUGGAGGAACACCGGUGGCGAAGGCGGCAUCCUGGACCGGCAUUGACGCUGAGGCGCGAAAGCCAGGGGAGCAAACAGG
rnacentral:rRNA from 1 species